rnacentral:lncRNA from 1 species
GGCUGGACUGUACUGCCGUGAUCUCGGCUGGCUGCAACCUCCCUGCCUGAUUCUCCUGCCUCAGCCUGCCGAGUGCCUGGGAUUGCAGGCGUGCGCCGCCACGCCUGACUGGUUUUUGUAUUUUUGGUGGAGAGGGGGUUUCGCCCUGUUGGCCAGGCUGGUCUCCAGCUACUGACCUCCAGUGAUCUGCCCGCCUCGGCCUCCCGAGGUGCCGGGAUUGCAGACGGAGUCUUGCUCACUCAGUGCUCAAUGUUGCCCAGGCUGGAGUGCAGUGGCGUGAUCUCGGCUGGCUACAGCCUCCACCUCCCAGCAGCCUGCCUUGGCCUCCCAAAGUGCUGAGAUCUCGCAGCCUCUGCCUGGCCGCCACCCCGUCUAGGAAGUGAGGAGCGUCUCUGCCUGGCCGCCCAUUGUCUGGGAUGUGAGGAGCCCCUCCGCCCGGCUGCCUCAUCUGGGAUGUGAGGAGCGCCUCUGCCCGGCAGCCCCGUCUGGGAGGUGAGGAGCAGCUCUACCCGGCCACCACCCCGCCUGGGAAGUGAGGAGCGCCUCUGCCCGGCCAACACCCCGUCUGGGAUGUGAGGAGCGUCUCUGCCCAGCUGCCCCGACUGGGAAGAGAGGAGUGCCUCUGCCCGGCCACCCCGCCUGGGAGGGAAAUUCUUGAUAAAAAUUACAGCCUGAUCUCAGUUGUGCAACAGGAAUUUUGAAGAGCAGCCACCCUCCCUGAAGCCAUCUAGGGAACACCAGCAGAAUCACACUGGAGGACUGGUGUCCACAGAAGGCCACAAGCUUGUGAAGGUCAACUCAGCUGUGGCAGCUGAGCAACUGUCGGGCAAGUCUGCUGGAAUCUGAAAACCCAGAGACAUUUGUCCUGGGGGAUAUAUGGUAUGGUUCCCUUGGGUUCUCAGAAAUGACUGAGAUGACAUUUUGAGAGAAGCUAAGUUUUGGAAAUUAGGCCAGAGACUUAUGCCAAAAUUGUGGAUAAAGAGGAAGUUCCUGUUUGGGUUGUAGUGACAGGCUGUUGAGACUGGUGAAGUAAGCAUCACACUCAAUUUACCCCACACUAUGAGGAGCAAAAGAGUUCUUAAAAAGACAGAGAGGCAUAGCCUCAUCAUCAGAGCUCUUUAGGGAAACUGGGGAUUACCUCUAUAUGUCAGAUUUUCAAAUUAGCGUUGCACACCAGAGACCUCUUCAGGUGAGGUGAACUUGUAAAAAUACCUGAGAAUGGUUGUGAAACUGUAGUGUGCUGCUGCUGUGACUUCUGUUUUAUUUUUUUCAUUUCAUUUACUUUUCUAUAUACGAGUGUGUGUGUUUGUGCACACACACAGAGUAUAUAUAAGACAUAGAUACUUAUAGUACAUAGAAAUGUAUUUGUAUAAAUACAUGUAUGAUGUUGAAAGUUUGAGAUUCUUUGUUUUUUGAUAAAAACUAGUUAAAAUUGUUAUUAAGAUCUGAAAAUUAAUUCAGUCAGUUUUAAGAGACAUAGAAAUUCAGAGCAGCAAUCCCUGUUUGGUAAAUGCUUCUGUGGGGGACAACAUUCUCCACUAAGGUAAUUUUGAGCCACAAUCUUAAAUCAAACCACGAAAGAUAGAAAUUAUUUCCUUGGAAUAAGCUGUGAACAGUAUUACCUAAGGCUUUGGAUAAUUUCAAAUGAAAUGCUGAAUUUAGUAUAUUGAAUGACACAGCAUCUUUAUUUUAAAAUGGAACAAGUCAAUAAGGUAUUUACAGGAACACACAGCUUGAAUAAUAAAAUGUGUGUGAAUAGAUCUUAAUAAUUCAUUCCAUGUGCUGAUGCAAUUUGAUACAAACUCAAGCGUUUUAAUAAGAACUGUAAGCUGUUUUUUGAAAUUAUGUAUUGGAUUAGAGAGAGAGAGAGAACAGACCAAUUAAGCAACGAAAAAGAAGCGGGGAAUUGCUAAUGCUGAAUGAGUAGGAGCCAUCUGGAACUAUAAAGCGUCCCCAACAACCUACAGCUUCCCACACAGAUCGUAACCUCCUCCUCCGAUACCCGCCCCCACUACUUUGUGUAGGAGUUUAUCUUUUCCAGCUAUCACUAUGGGUAGGGUAAAAACUACUUUUAUAAAAAUUACCUUCAUGGUUACUGAAAGCUGAAGAGGAAUACUUCACUAACCAUGGGUCAUGACUCAUAGCGUAAAUACUUAUCUAGUAAGCAUUUAUAAUAUUUCUUUGGUGCUAAUUUUCUCAUUGAAUAAAGUUUGCUUUCAUUUUGUUUCAUCCACAUCAUAGCGGCACUUUCUGGCUGAGCUGCUUAACCCUCUGAAUUCAACUAUUUGCAGAGGCAUAAAGAAUUUUGAUGACUAUUUCAUUAUGCUUCCUCUAAAAAUAUGUUUUAAAGUCUCUAAAGAUUGUUGACUGUGUGCAAAACACUCUAAAGCUUGUUUCAAAGUAACAUAAAGCAUUUAGAUGAGAAAAGGGAAUAUACACAAUCCACUUCAGCUACACAUAAACUGGUUCAUGUGUUAAGGACAGUUCUAGAACUUUGGAAACUUGGAUAAGGACGCUCCUUCUGAGUAUAGUUCUCAUAGCACAAUCCCAAAGACACUGGAACCAACUUCAACUCCCACUGAGCUUAGAACCUACCCUUUACAUUACCCUAGAAAAACAAACACACUCUUUUAUGUAACCCCUCUCCCCAUUCUCCCCCUUCUUUUACAAAUUAUAUGCUAAAAUGCUCCCAACGUACUUAUAAAUAGAUCCAAUAAGACAUCAAUUUCUACACCUUCCAAGAGGGAGGGGAAACAAUCACAGGAAAUGAGGUGAAAACAAAUACUAUUGGCCGGGCGCAGUGGCUCACGCCUGUAAUCCCAGCACUUUGGGAGGCCGAGGCGGACAGAUCACGAGGUCAGGAGAUCGAGACCAUCCUGGCUAACACGGUGAAACCCCAUCUCUACUAAAAAUACAAAAAAAAUUAGCCAGGCGUGGUUGCAGGCGCCUGUAGUCCCGGCUACUCGGGAGGCUGAGGCAGGAGAAUGACAUGAACCCGGGAGGCGGAGCUUGUAGUGAGCCGAUAUUGUGCCACUGCACUUCAGCCGGGGCGACAGAGCGAGACGAGACUCUGCCUCAAAAGAAAACAAAAUAAAAACAAAAACAAACAAACAAAAAACAAACCAAAUGUUAUUAACCAAAUUACUAAAAUAAAGGAAACUUGAACACUAAAGAAUAAAUAAUUUUCACAAGAACAUUCUAAAGCAAAUUGUAGUAUCACUUUAUUUUCAUUAUUGUAGUAACAUUUCUUCAAUGACUUGGUAUCAAUAAAUUGUAUACAAAUAAAAGUCCUGUGUUGGCUUAAUAUUUCAUUUUUCAGCUUUUGUGUUAGGGUCUAUAAACAAGUUUAUUGGUACCUGUGUUUACAGAUGCACCAUAUUUAAAUGUAGUAUAAAGUCUGAUAUAUAUGAGAAUACGAUGGGAUAUGU